GCCAAAUUUGCGUUGCGCAAUACGCUCAUCGGCAUCGCAUACUGAAUGCAUUGGACGUCAUUUGAGCACGCAAUUAAGCGCCCGUGCAACUUAAUUUCACCGCGGAUCGGCUACGUCCCUAAGCUUCAUCUCGUCACAGGAGGGCAUCAGCGGGCUUCGACCUAACCUCGUUGCGGGAACACCGAGAAGUACAACCCCUAUCGUCAUCUCACCGCGGGAGCGCGUACAGUGAUACGGGUUCUAUAUCGAUGCAGACGUAAACUCUAUAAACGGCGAUUGUACCGAAAACCUGAUCAUGGAAAAAUGUUAGUGGUACCUCAAGCAAUCAGAUGGCGCCUAACCAAGUGCAACCACGAUAAAGCGGGAACCAAAAAAGGCGACUAUGUCAAGUCCUACAUUGCUUCUUGGUGAACUAUACUUGCAAGAAGUGUUACACAUACCGUUCCGAACAGUUAUCAUUCAUCACAUUGGGCAGUUCAUAUAAAGUAAAACCAACAGCUGCAAUAAAAGCCCUGAAACGAAUUUGCUGUGUUUAGAGCCAACUCUUUUACAUCAAUGCAGUUCGCCCAUCUUAUAAAUGAAAAUGGAAGAUAUGCUACGAUGGCAGCUGCGAUAGGAAUUACACAUAAAUUGGAUCCAGUUUUUAAAAGGACCUUUUUUGUUAUCCAAGGUCCUUCUAACGAUCGAUACUUAAUAGAGGACCUUACAGAUCAUUCAGUUUCUCAACGACGAUACAACGUAGUAUCCAUCGAUCACAAAAAGCCUUGGUGUGCUUUAAUCCCAGACUUCGAUACCAAUAAUGAAAGCUAUGACUUCUCAACAGAAGACAAACUAUCGCCAGGAAAGGUCGAUAUGUCAAAAAUAGAGCAGUAUGGUUGGCAAUGUCAAAGGAGUACGACGUUUGCCGCAUGCUCAUAAGCCAACAAGAUUUCUUUAUACUUUGUGUUCUCAUAUAUUAGAUUAAAUUCCUUGUCAAUAAAUACUUUAUAACCAUCCUGAACAAGCGCAGAGGUAUUUUCGACAGGAUAUUUUGAAAACACUCACUCAAAAGUGUGUUGAAGAAACAGGAUCAGCGUAAUGUUAGCGAAGUAUUAAGGAAAGAACAGAUCGAAAAGUUUAAAGUCGAGGAAGGGAGUAUUGGCUGCUGCGCCUCAGUCUUUUUUUUAAGUUUUUCAAGAAGUUUAAUAAGAAUAACUAAUAU